GCGCAAAGAGAGGCCCAAGUGAGAUUAGCUAGUUGGUGAGGUAAAGGCUCACCAAGGCAACGAUCUCUAGCUGUUCUGAGAGGAAGAUCAGCCACACUGGGACUGAGACACGGCCCAGACUCCUACGGGAGGCAGCAGUGGGGAAUAUUGCACAAUGGGGGAAACCCUGAUGCAGCCAUGCCGCGUGUGUGAAGAAGGCCUUCGGGUUGUAAAGCACUUUCAGUUGUGAGGAAAAGUUAGUAGUUAAUACCUGCUAGCCGUGACGUUAACAACAGAAGAAGCACCGGCUAACUCCGUGCCAGCAGCCGCGGUAAUACGGAGGGUGCGAGCGUUAAUCGGAAUUACUGGGCGUAAAGCGCACGCAGGCGGUUUGUUAAGCUAGAUGUGAAAGCCCCGGGCUCAACCUGGGACGGUCAUUUAGAACUGGCAGACUAGAGUCUUGGAGAGGGGAGUGGAAUUCCAGGUGUAGCGGUGAAAUGCGUAGAUAUCUGGAGGAACAUCAGUGGCGAAGGCGACUCCCUGGCCAAAGACUGACGCUCAUGUGCGAAAGUGUGGGUAGCGAACAGGAUUAGAUACCCUGGUAGUCCACACCGUAAACGCUGUCUACUAGCUGUUUGUGGCUUUAAGCCGUGAGUAGCGAAGCUAACGCGAUAAGUAGACC
rnacentral:rRNA from 2 species